rnacentral:tRNA from 1 species
GGGCAGAAGGCCGAGUGGUCUAAGGCGCCAGACUCACGGCCUCGCUUGCCGGGCGAAUGUGGUUGAGCAUUCUGGUACUGGUAAUAGUGCUUGGGUUCAAGUCCCACUCCGUGCA